rnacentral:piRNA from 1 species
UAGACUCCUAGAGAACAGACUCUGGUGGCCU